UUCCUUACGAAAUAAAACCCUUCAAGAAUUCCUCUUUCUAUUUACAUAAUCUAAUCUUGAUCCGAAUCCUAAUCUCAAAGCCACCUUCUGGAUCUCUUCUUCUUGAAUCAAGAAGGCCGUUUCCUCCCGUCGACCUGAUCGUUCCGUCAUCCUUGAGGUGGUGGAGGGAGUCGCAAGAAUCUGAUUGGAAUUCGGCAGUGGGGAGAGAUCCCGUAAGGGCGCCUCUGGCACCGCCUUCACAGCAGGCGCUGUGGGGAGGGACGGUCCGAUGACGUCCUUCGUCGACUCCGCUCGUUUCUGGUUCGGCGGUGAAAACUCGAGCCCGGGUGACGCGGAAGGCCCCAGCGAGGGAUCGAUGUCGGCCGUAGACGACGACUCCGAUCUUAAUCUUCAGCCAUCGGCGUGACAGCGAUUCGAGCCUCGAUGAUACUGAAGACGAUGGGAUUUCCGGCCGCAGCCUUAUCUGAUGCGGAGGCUGCAGAAGCAAGGCAAAAUGAAGUUAGUCUGGUAAAGAACAGAGGAGGCUUUCUUCCAUUGGAUUUAUCGGAUAGGGGUGUCAUCGGAACUGUGUUCCCAAUCUUCCUAGAGACGAGACGUUCCAAUCCUGCCGACAAACCGAACAGCAAUGGGAGCAGGAGGCGAUUCAAUGCCAGAGGAGGAUCCACCAUUUUUCGCGAGGGAGGCAGGCAGCAUUGUGUUGGCCGCUGGAGUCGCUUCGUGGAGCUACAACAAUGGCGAAAUACCUGUUGUUGCGAUUACUGUCUUUGACAAGAGUAGCAAUGCCAAUCAACCAGAUUACUAGCACAAAGGGGAUGCCUCAGUAUAAGAAGAGUAGUGAGUCCUUGAAACAAAGACAAGAAAGUGGAUUGCUUGGAUUUAAGGUAGAAUGUCUGUUGCUUGUUUCAGUUGUCGAGUCCAUCACGGGUUGUCAUGUCCCGCACCAUUAUGAGAAAUCCAGAAAGAGGCAGCCAUGCACUAACCAGGUCGAUGGUGCAACCGCAAGACAUCAUCACAAGUGCGCACGACGGGAGACUGAGUGCUCUCCAUGAGUCCCAUCUGGCGAGAGAGCGAGAAGACAUCGUGGGCGCUAUCAUCCAUCAACAUGGUAGGGUUUACUACCGUUCCACUGUUGAAGAUGGAUUCCAGUUUGAGGAUCUGCUUGGGUGCGCGUGACGGUGCCGUCGGGCGCAGAUCUCUGCAGGCUGGAGCUGUUUCUGCGGCCUCGGUUACUGUCUUCCAUGGCCGAAGUGGCUUGUAGCUGGAGCGAAGAAGGAAACCCAAGUCACCGGAAGCAAUGAUGCGAAGGAAAAGAGAUGCGUCAAGUGUUCACAUACACAAGAUCUUACGGAUGAUGGUAUACGAUGAUAACGUGCCGAGCAUAAGUGGAGGAAGUCCUCAAGGAAGAAAUAGUCAAAGAGGAAGGCUGAUGCAAAGAAGAAGCACACAAUAUACUAACAUGUUGGUGCGAGAGAGUGAAAGAGAGAGAGAGAGAGACAGGGAAAAGGUUUGGCCAUCUUUUGCCACAGCAGAAACCGACGCAACGCGGAAGGAGGCUCGGCUUGGUUUGAAUGCCUUUAAUUUACCUCUGUCCCCUUCCAUGGCAACUGUGCCUUCUGUAGCUUCUCUUCAGCAUCAAACUCCAACUCUGUGCUUGUCUGAUCCGAUUAAUUCCUUGUAGCUUUUACAUUUUGACGACUUAGCUCAGAUAUAAAUAUAAAUAUA